rnacentral:lncRNA from 1 species
ACUGGAAUCAGCAACUCCCUGGAACUCGGGCCUCUGGCCCCGUCCCUCUUUUCUCCGGCAGGGACGCAGGAUGCCUUGGUGCACUCUAGAGACGGGGACCGGAGGGUGCAGCGCGCCUGGGUGGGGCGAAGGGCGCCGGUCUCCUCACGCCCUCUGACUUUAGGAUACCAGACAGUGUCUCUUCAACCCCACCCCAGGCGCAGGUUUCCAGAAGGCGGGGUGGGUGGGGCCCCCGAUUUCCAGAAGGCGAGUUACCUAGCAGGUGUGUGGGGUGGGCAUUGCUAUUCGGUAAGUCUGUUGCAUGGGGUAGGAUGACGUGGGGAGCUUAAAAGCUUUAAAGCCAGCGCAAAGGUAGAGCUGCGUCUGCUGUUUUUGUUUUUUUUUUUUUUUCCCUGUGUCUGUGGCAAAUUAAGGAGAAAAAUCAAGACGUUCCCUUCAGUCCUCCCUCGGUGUUAACGUCUGCUCCAGCUCGCAGCCCGCUGCUGGGCAUUUUAUUAAUGCUUUUACGAGUUAGAAGAGUUGGGAUAAUUUGCCAUCUGGAGUUUCUCUGCCUUGCUGAUCUGAGCUCAGACCUGCCAAUUUACCAGAGAUAAUUGAUAACACCCUGUAACAGCUGAGAGGAAAAUGGAAGAAACGGAGAUACUUUUAGUGAAGCAGAAUAAACCACUGAACAGGAAAAAUGAGGAAGCUGUGAGUACCAGUGGAAGGAACGAGCCAGGAAGAGGGACUGGAACCAUCUCAGAAGCCAUGCCCCUCAGGCUGGAACUUGCCCUGUCUCCUCGCAGAUGAGCUACCUCUUGUGUUUAAGAAUUAAAGGAAGAUGAGCUAGGAAUCAAGAAAUACGCAGAACUGAUUCCUGUCACUGGCGCCACCCUGCCACUUGCCCAGAGCUGUGGUAUAAAUUUUUUUAAUAGGCUGAAAUAAAAAUAUGAAUAGCAUUUUGGUAUUAAGCAUUAAAUUGAUAAAGGCUAUGAGAUACACCUGCUCUCAACCAUGUUAAUUUUUUAUUAUUGGUAUUAAUAAAUUAUUACUUACUAACAUAUUAACAAGAAUUGCAUUGAGAAACAAAGCAUCCACAGGCCAAAUCUUCUGAAUUUCAAAUGUUUAUAUUAAUGCGUUGUAUUCUAGAAAAGUAGAAUUGUCUUAAGUAGCUUUGUAAUAUAAAGUCAUCUAUCAGCCCAUUACACCUAUUAGAAUGUUUUAACCUUUAUUUCCCACUUUUUUGUUUCUAGACUGAGUGUACUUGGUCUGGUAUUUGUGGCAUAACUUACGGAACACAUAAGAAUGAUACAGAUACUAUUUAAUGAUGACCUAAUACAAGCUUAGAUAGCUAAGGUGAAAGCUUCUAUGGCCUUAACAUUUUCCUCUUGAAGAAUGUAUUUUCUGUAAUAAAAUACAGUGGCUACUUGAAAUCUAUAAACUUA